CCUACGGGAGGCAGCAGUGGGGAAUAUUGGACAAUGGGGGGAACCCUGAUCCAGCCAUGCCGCGUGUGUGAAGAAGGCCCUCGGGUUGUAAAGCACUUUCAGUGAGGAAGAACGCCUGGUGGUUAAUACCCAUCAGGAAAGACAUCACUCACAGAAGAAACACCGGCUAACUCCGUGCCAGCAGCCGCGGUAAUACGGAGGGUGCGAGCGUUAAUCGGAAUUACUGGGCGUAAAGCGCGCGUAGGUGGCUUGAUAAGCCGGUUGUGAAAGCCCCGGGCUCAACCUGGGAACGGCAUCCGGAACUGUCAAGCUAGAGUGCAGGAGAGGAAGGUAGAAUUCCCGGUGUAGCGGUGAAAUGCGUAGAGAUCGGGAGGAAUACCAGUGGCGAAGGCGGCCUUCUGGACUGACACUGACACUGAGGUGCGAAAGCGUGGGUAGCAAACAGGAUUAGAUACCCCGGUAGUC
rnacentral:rRNA from 1 species